UGUAACAUUCUAAAAGCAAAGAAUGAGCCUUGUCUGAUUUUAUUUUCUUUAUUAAAUAGGAACCAAGAUGUCAGUUAGGCAGGAAAUCCUCUGGGCCACUAGAGAUUGCAGAAAGGAUGGAUAAGUCACAUAGUCUUGUGGUUAUCUUGAGAAAGAAUUCCAAGUACCACUUUAAAUAACUAAUUUCCAUCAUGUGACUUUAUUAUUCAUUAUUUGCAUUUAAUUAAUAAUGUGGAAUUUAUGCCACAACUACAUCACAAAUUAAUUUUCCCAAGUGAAUGGUUUGUUAUCUAGAAGGAAUCACUCAUUUAUUAUAUUACUUUUAAAUUUACUUAAAAGGAAUUUUCACAUCCUUUAGUCAGGUCCAUAAGUUAUUUGAAAUUUUCUUUCUUGUACCAUUACACAAAUGAGUAGCACUGUGUGCAGAGUCUCAGUGCUUGUGUGAGAGAACUCAGAGGAGUCAACAUGUGAAGUCAUGCCUGUGAUUUACAGUGAAGGGAUACCAGGAAGAGGAAUGGAACAAGAACACACAAGUUUGUGUGUGUGUGUGUGUGUGUGUGAACAGGAACCACAGGAUCAGCAUGCAAGUGGACGUAGGAAGCAUGCUUGGUUCCUCUAGCAUCUGCUUGAGAACAGGUGUGGAACUUACCUACCAAGUUGUCUGAAGACACAUUGCUGAAUUUUUCUUUGAGGCUGAUCAUACAUAUAUCCUCUGCUUAGUUACAUUCUAAUUUCAACAUCCCUGAAGGAAAUAAGUUGUUUAUCUUAACACCUAUUUAUGCAAAGAUAUUGUUUGCAUAAGCAGUUUAGGGACAUUAAACACCAAUGUGGCUUAAUAAAUUAUGCCUUAGUCCUCUUUGUGAAAGAAUAUCAUGUAUUAGUCAUCUUAAUUACAGAAUUUUUAUAGCUUAUGUACAUAGAUGAUUAAAUAUUUUAGUAUCAUUCUUUGAGCUUUUGAAAUAGGCUAAUCAGAAAAUGGAAGAGUCCCUGACAAGAAUCAGUGUCAUCACAUUUUGUUUGUUCUAACCCCAAAGGAAAAACGAUAUGAUAACUCCUAAUGUAUGGGAAACUCUAGGAAUUGAGGACUAUAACAGAGUUCGCUAGUCAUCAAUAUGCAAUGAAAAUGAUGUCAUUUUACUGUGAGACUAUGUAGUUUUUCUGAGUUUAUUUUUUAACAUUUCUUCAGAAAAUUAAUACAUCUCAGUUAUCUUGGCAUCUUAGGGUCUUCAACUGUUUUAUUCAAUUUCUUCUUUUUUUAAUUGGGUAUUUAUUUCGUUUACAUUUCCAAUGCUAUCCCAAAAGUCCCCCACAUGCUCCCCCAUUUUUAAGAUACUAUCUCGCAUAAUUUUAUAAAUCUGAAAAUAAAUUACUGUAAAUCUGUGGCUAGAGAGGUGGCUCAGUGGUUAUGUUCUCUUCCCAGCACCACAUGACAGCCCACAACUGCCUGGAAAGGCAGUUGCAAGGGAUCAGGUACCUUCUUCUAGCCUUCACAGGUACUUCACACCUGUGAGGGUGUAUAUGCAGGCAAAACACUUAAACACACAAAAAGAUAUCUUUAAAAAAAUAUAAACUCAUCUACUAUGUGACUGUUCUUUUCUGUUCUGUUCCAAGUAUCAAAUCACAUCUUAUGGUUUAAAUGCAAAAUGCAAACUUCCAAAUGGAACUAAAGGUCCAUUUUCCUUUCUUCAACUCCUGUUUACAGUACUGAUCAUAUUCUUUGUGAGAUUUAGGCGUUCACAUUUCACAAGGCAUAUAGUCUUCCACUUGUAAGCCUUAACUAUAUAGCAUAAAUUUCUCUAUAAUAUUCCUUCUCAUUUCACACUCAUAUGCUCUCCAAUGGCUUUCCCUCCUUGAUUCUUGAACCUGAUAAUUUGUGGCAUCUAUGAUUUUUUUUUUUUAAUGCCUGGUCUUGCAUCAGGGUUUUGUUUUGUUCAUUGUAUUUUGGUACUAUUGAGACAAAGGUAAAGAAAGUGGGCAAUUUAACUAAUAUUUAACUAAUAUAUUCAAGCAUCGCAGGGAUCAGGUUUCUUGUCAUAGAAAUGAUGGUGCUGAUGUCUGUGUCUGUGGUGCGGUUUGUUUGUAUCUUUCCGUUUUUCUCUGCAGUCUGUGUUGUUUGUAAGUUAUGGACCUUGAUGGUUUUGCUGUGUUAAUUGAUGAUUAAUUAAUGACUGAACUUAUGAUUAAAUGAUUUGUCUGUGUGUUGGGGCUGGGUCCAGGCACAUCUCCCCACUGCUAUUCUCGGUAACCUGAUGAGGCCUCAAGUUUAGGUAUUUAGAGUCAGGCCAAAUUCAGGACUAGCCAGUGUAUGAAGCAGACUUGGAGAUUUCAUUGCGCAUGAUAAUUAGCAGAGAAGUGAGCACUCAGAAGAAAGUAAAGCCUACCUAAACGUGGGCGAAGGUUCCUCAGGUGAGGUCGAUGGGUUAAUGUUUUUACAGCAGUCAGAUGUGGAACCAUGGUGGAGAUUGAAGUUACUGUUUUAUCACGGGGUGAUUCCUGAGGGGGUACCUUGGAGGUUCAAAAUUGACAAGGUGAAUGUCCAUACCACGGAGACACUGGAAGUUAGGGUGCAGGGUAUUGAAUAUUCACAGUUCUGUUACAAUUCUUAGUCAAUGUCUGGGAAAAGGAAUGAGACUACCCAAGGUCAUAUACAGUCAGACUUUAAGCCUGGGUCAUUGCUACUUUGACAUAAAAUACCUACACAGGAAAGGAAUAAUAACCCUGAAUAAUUAUUUUGCAUUCACAGGGCAGCAUGUGAGUGCCAUGAUACCCCUCUAGAGGUCAAAGGACAACAUGUAGGAGUUGAAUUUCACAAUUUGGGUUCAGGGAUAAAACCCUAGUUUUAAGGUUUAGCAGCAAGUACCUUUAUUUGCUUAGUCAUCUUGCUGGCCCCACAAAUGCUAAGUGUGCCAGAAUUCUUGCUUUCUGGUGAGCUCUUUUCUUCUGUCACUUUAAUUUCCUUGUCUUCCUGUCCAUUUGUCUCCUUGCCCUUGCAGAAGUCCUCUGUAUUUUGGGGGGGAAUAAUUUGGAAGCUUACAUAGGUAGCACAUGACUUAGUUUUCACUAAAUGCAUUAAUGGCUAGCUGAGACUGUACUACCUGUCAGAACUCUGCAAACAAAUGUCUACUAUAGAGUAGUCCUCAAGAAUUCAGUGACUCUGAAUGUGCCAGACCUAUUACAGAGCUUUUCAGCUUCCUGUGAUCACACACACACACACACACACACACACACACACACACACACACACAUUAAUGCUGCUAUAAAUGAUCUUCUGAUGAAUAUUUAUUCCUGUUUUUAGUAGGAUACUUGAAUUUCUAAAAUCAAGCUCUUAUCUUGACAUUGCUGUCAUUUUGUUAAUUUUAUGAUCAAGCAAUGGCUUUAUGAUUAAUCUAAAUCAGUAUAUUUGGUUCUUUUUUAAAAAGCUGAGUUCAGACUUUAAAAUAUUACUUUUGUAAUUUUUGUUGGAUAUGUUAGUUUUAUCAUAUUUUUAAAAGCUGUACUUUGCAUUUCUACCUAGCUCAUAAAUUAUGCUUAAUCAUGACAUAUUAGGUUAACUCAUGUUUUUUAUAUGCUUCAGUCAUAUAAAAAUUAUUUACUUUUGCCAUAUAACAAGAUGACUGAGGAGAGUUGGCAUUUGAUUUGUAUUGUCAUCCCAAGCUGC
rnacentral:lncRNA from 1 species